rnacentral:rRNA from 1 species
CACAUGCAAGUCGAGGGGCAGCGGGAUUGAAGCUUGCUUCAAUUGCCGGCGACCGGCGCACGGGUGAGUAACGCGUAUCCAACCUUCCGUACACUCAGGGAUAGCCUUUCGAAAGAAAGAUUAAUACCUGAUGGUAUGAUGAGAUUGCAUGAUAGCAUCAUUAAAGAUUCAUCGGUGUACGAUGGGGAUGCGUUCCAUUAGGUAGUAGGCGGGGUAACGGCCCACCUAGCCUACGAUGGAUAGGGGUUCUGAGAGGAAGGUCCCCCACAUUGGAACUGAGACACGGUCCAAACUCCUACGGGAGGCAGCAGUGAGGAAUAUUGGUCAAUGGACGAGAGUCUGAACCAGCCAAGUAGCGUGAAGGAUGAAGGUCCUACGGAUUGUAGACUUCUUUUAUAAGGGAAUAAAACCUCCCACGUGUGGGAGCUUGUAUGUACCUUAUGAAUAAGCAUCGGCUAACUCCGUGCCAGCAGCCGCGGUAAUACGGAGGAUGCGAGCGUUAUCCGGAUUUAUUGGGUUUAAAGGGAGCGCAGACGGGUCGUUAAGUCAGCUGUGAAAGUUUGGGGCUCAACCUUAAAAUUGCAGUUGAUACUGGCGUCCUUGAGUGCGGUUGAGGUGUGCGGAAUUCGUGGUGUAGCGGUGAAAUGCUUAGAUAUCACGAAGAACUCCGAUUGCGAAGGCAGCACACUAAGCCGUAACUGACGUUCAUGCUCGAAAGUGUGGGUAUCAAACAGGAUUAGAUACCCUGGUAGUCCACACGGUAAACGAUGGAUACUCGCUGUUGGCGAUAUACUGUCAGCGGCUUAGCGAAAGCGUUAAGUAUCCCACCUGGGGAGUACGCCGGCAACGGUGAAACUCAAAGGAAUUGACGGGGGCCCGCACAAGCGGAGGAACAUGUGG